AACGCGAAGAACCUUACCAGGGCUUGACAUGGGCAAGACGCACGCAGAGAUGCGUGUUCCCGCAAGGGCUUGCCGCACAGGUGCUGCAUGGCUGUCGUCAGCUCGUGUCGUGAGAUGUUGGGUUAAGUCCCGCAACGAGCGCAACCCUCGCCUUCAGUUGCCAUCACGUUUGGGUGGGCACUCUGAAGGAACUGCCGGUGACAAGCCGGAGGAAGGUGGGGAUGACGUCAAGUCCUCAUGGCCUUUAUGUCCUGGGCUACACACGUGCUACAAUGGUCGGUACAAACCGUCGCAAACCUGCGAAGGGGAGCUAAUCGGAAAAAGCCGGCCUCAGUUCGGAUUGGAGUCUGCAACUCGACUCCAUGAAGCUGGAAUCGCUAGUAAUCGCGGAUCAGCACGCCGCGGUGAAUACGUUCCCGGGCCUUGUACACACCGGUACUA
rnacentral:rRNA from 1 species